ACAACAAAAGAUAAUCUCAAAGCUUGUAAGGUUCCAAGGAGGCUGGUGGCCAAAGUAGAUGCUGCAGUGGAGGAGGCUCUGGAGAUGCAAGAUAUUUUCAUCUAAGUGAGUAGAAGAAAGAGAUAAUUGUGAGGAGUACUCUGGAGAGAAGGGUGCAGUUUCAGACACUGCGAUGUGUGAUGAUCUCAAUGGCAAAGAGGCGUUUAAAUGAGGAAGCAGCUGCUAAACCUCCAAAGAGGAGGUGCAUUGGUGAUGCACCGCCACCUGGCCUAAGACGAUCGGAGAGGAUUAAGCAGCUAAAUGUGCUCCAACGAUGUUUAUAGAAUUUGUUUCCAUGUGCAGUGGCUGGGGGAUGGGAGGCAUUCCUGGGUUAGCCUCUCUUAUUUGGUGCCCUUUGAGAGGGCACCAACCCCCCAACAGACACCCUACACUAUGUUGAAGAAUUACAUCAUAACUGUUGCUCCAACGAUGUCGUUAGGGUGCCACUCUAUGUGCGGUGGUUGUGGGAUGGGAGGCACACGUGGGUUGGCCUCUCUUAUUUGGUGCCCUUUGAGAGGGCACCAACCCCCCAACAGACACCCUUCACGAUGUUAAAGAACUAUGUCAUAACUUUUGCACAAAUGAUGUUGAGCUAAUUCCCCAAGCUGGCUGAGCUAGUUCCUACGAAGACCCCUACUCAAAUAAGAGAACAGGCAAGAAGGUUCAAUAAUUUCCCCUUAUUCGACAUCUUCCAGUUGGAUAUCAGCGAUGUUGGGGGUGAAGCGACUGACAGGACCUGUGAUAUGGAAUCUGGGGAUGAUUUAGGGGAUGGCAACAAGAUGAUAUCCACACAGGAUAGUGUUGACACCCCUGCAAUUGGACUAGUUUGCCCGCAAUUGGACGGUGGCCCCGUUUGCCCGCUGGAUUCUGUGGUUGAAUGUGAGGUAUGUGGAAACAAAAUGGAAGGCCAGUCAGAGUAAGUACUAUCUCUUUCUCUAAGUUUAAGGCAAAAGUCUAACGAGACUCGGAAUUAUAACAAAUAGGUGACCCUAGGAUUUCUAGUGGAAAGCACUAGUGUGGGCAAAAAUUUACCCAGAAUAAUUUUCAUUUCAGGCCGCUUCUCGGCCUGUGGCCCCGUGCAAACUCGUAUCUUGGCAACAUUGAUGCAAGA
rnacentral:lncRNA from 1 species